UACGGGGGGGGCAAGCGUUGUUCGGAAUUACUGGGCGUAAAGGGCUCGUAGGCGGCCAACUAAGUCAGACGUGAAAUCCCUCGGCUUAACCGGGGAACUGCAUCUGAUACUGGAUGGCUUGAGUUCGGGAGAGGAGAGUGGAAUUCCCAGUGUAGAGGUGAAAUUCGUAGAUAUUGGGAAGAACACCGGUGGCGAAGGCGGCUCUCUGGACCGAGACUGACGCUGAGGCGCGAAAGCGUGGGGAGCAAACAGG
rnacentral:rRNA from 1 species